rnacentral:rRNA from 1 species
CAAGUCGAACGCGAAAGUCCCGCAAGGGAUGAGUAGAGUGGCAAACGGGUGAGUAACGCGUGGGUGACCUGCCUUCGAGUGGGGGAUAACGUUCCGAAAGGGACGCUAAUACCGCAUGACAUCCUGCCUUUUAAGCGGCGGAGAUCAAAGCUGGGGAUCGCAAGACCUAGCGCUUGAAGAGGGGCCCGCGUCCGAUUAGCUAGUUGGUGGGGUAACGGCUCACCAAGGCAACGAUCGGUAGCCGGCCUGAGAGGGCGGACGGCCACACUGGGACUGAGACACGGCCCAGACUCCUACGGGAGGCAGCAGUAGGGAAUUGUUCGCAAUGGGCGCAAGCCUGACGACGCAACGCCGCGUGGAGGAUGAAGAUCUUCGGGUCGUAAACUCCUUUCGAUCGAGACGAACGGUCUCCGGGUGAACAAUCCGGAGAAAUGACGGUACCGAGAGAAGAAGCCCCGGCUAACUCCGUGCCAGCAGCCGCGGUAAUACGGGGGGGGCAAGCGUUGUUCGGAAUUACUGGGCGUAAAGGGCUCGUAGGCUGCCAACUAAGUCAGACGUGAAAUCCCUCGGCUUAACCGGGGAACUGCGUCUGAUACUGGAUGGCUUGAGUUUGGGAGAGGGAUGCGGAAUUCCAGGUGUAGCGGUGAAAUGCGUAGAUAUCUGGAGGAACACCGGUGGCGAAGGCGGCAUCCUGGACCAACACUGACGCUGAGGAGCGAAAGCCAGGGGAGCAAACGGGAUUAGAUACCCCGGUAGUCCUGGCCCUAAACGAUGAAUGCUUGGUGUGACGGGUAACGAUCCCUGUCGUGCCGAAGCUAACGCAUUAAGCGUUCCGCCUGGGGAGUACGGUCGCAAGGCUGAAACUCAAAGGAA